CUCCCAUGGGGUACCCAAUGGAUAGCAGUAAACGUGAACCCAAGCGGUUGGUUAGUUUGCCAGAGUUUGGCAAACCCAAGGGAAGAGUCUAUUUGUUAAACAGCUGGGAUCCUAGUCUCCAUUUCCCAAGUGAGGUUCAUUCAUAAACAACACAGUGUUCGUGUAAAAUUGAAUAAAUUCCAGAUGCCACUUGUUAAUACAAUUAGCUCAUGUUCCCUAGUGGCCCUGAAGGAGGUGUAAUGCCCAAAACACUCUCAGAGCCUGCAGUCAUGUCCUCUUCCAUCUCGUAAUUGUGGAAAAAAGGGUGAUAUAAUCAUCUACCUCUCUCAUCGUUGUCAGAAGUGUGGAACCAGAAAGUGCAUGUACAUAAUCAUUUGCAUUGUAAGAGCUUGGAAAAAAGGUAGCAACUGAUGGAAAUGAACAAAUAUUUGCUGCACAUGGGAUCUUCAGCCUUCAUUGCAGCAUACGGGAGCAGCAUGUGGGAGCUAGUUCCCUGACCGCGGAUUGAACCCAGGCCCCCUGCAUUGGGAAUGUGGGGUCGAAGCCCCUGAAUCACCAGAGAAGUCAGUAGAAGAGAGUUUUGCCACCUUGUACUGAAUAAAUGGGAAUCACUGGUCUAGUUUGAAUAUUUAAAUGGGAGCCCAGCAGAGAUUCUCAGGAAGGGGACGGUGUCAUCUGUGGAGGAAUAGCAUUCUCAAAGAUCUCUCGCAAAGUCACAGAGUAUGAACUCUCCACCAGCUCUUGGCCCUUUCCACGGAGCUCAGGCCCAGAUGCUGGAAAACAGGAGCCCUCUGCCAAGGGUUUAGCUACAUCAAAUCAGCUCAACCCGAAGGACUGCAGAGGGCAAACCUGAAAAACGCCCAGAACACAUUCUUCUGCUGCCUGUUUGUUCUGUUUCUUUCCCACAAGAAACAGUUGUUCUUAUGAACUGGAUACAAGUCUCACCCACAAGAAGAAUCGAUAACCUUAAAAAACCUGGGGAAAAUAAAACCACCCUGGCUUGGGGCAUCAUGACCCAGGAUUCUGAUUUGGCUUUUUUUUUUUUCCUUUUCCUUCUCAAAGAUAACAAAUAAAUUAAUGCGGAAAGCCACAUCCAUAUUGGAAAGGCUUGUCUCUUUUUCCACAUACCCUCAGCGAUAUCGAGGGCUUUGUGAUAAAUAAGUUUGUCAGGAGUUCUUUUCAGGAAACUCAACCACAAUUUUAGUCUUGUCUAUUCAACACAUUGUUCAGAAAUGUUUUGGUAACCUUUAAAGUCCUACUCUAGGAGAGAGUUUCCCAUACCCUUCAAUUAAGUUUUUUCCUAUUUUGAAGGUCAUUAAGACUUUGGAAGAUAUUCUUAUACGUGACUUUGAGUCAUGAGUCCGUGUCCUCAGCUGAAGAGGCAGGAAGGUCCACGCUUGUGAGGAAACGUUCCACCAAACUGUGCUGUUCCAGGGCCUCGCUGGUCAGGAAGGGGAGCCUGGGGGUGUUGGACACAGCUGCCUACUAGCAAGGGCUCACUGAUGAGGGGGGGCUUCAUCUGCUGUGGUCGAUGCCAGGGUGUGACCAGACCUAAAGUAAUGAGGGUGGGGGACCCAUUCCAUGGGAAGGUUAUGAGAAACUCUGAAGGGGAGGGGCUUGAUCCUCCCACUCCACGGAAACCUGGUUGUAACAGGGACUCAGGUAUUUGUACACCUACGUUCACAGUAGUGUUAUUUACAGUAGAAACAGAAGCAAUCCACGUGACCUUGAAUGGAUAAACAAAAUGUGCUAUAAAACCCUAAAUAUUCAUUGGAAGGACUGAUGCUGAGGCUCCAAUACUUUGGCCACCUGAUAC
ensembl:lncRNA